rnacentral:rRNA from 1 species
CAGCAGCCACGGGAAUACAGAGGGUGCGAGCGUUAAUCGGAUUUACUGGGCGUAAAGCGUGCGUAGGCGGCUUCUUAAGUCGGAUGUGAAAUCCCUGAGCUUAACUUAGGAAUUGCAUUCGAUACUGGGAAGCUAGAGUAUGGGAGAGGAUGGUAGAAUUCCAGGUGUAGCGGUGAAAUGCGUAGAGAUCUGGAGGAAUACCGAUGGCGAAGGCAGCCAUCUGGCCUAAUACUGACGCUGAGGUACGAAAGCAUGGGGAGCAAAUAGGAUUAGAUACCCCCGUAGUCCCUGUCUCUUAUAC